rnacentral:rRNA from 1 species
GCGUAGGAAUCUACCCAGUAGUUGGGGAUAGCCCGGAGAAAUCCGGAUUAAUACCGAAUAAUCUCUACGGAGGAAAGUGGGCUUCGGCUCACGCUACAGGAUGAGCCUGCGUUGGAUUAGCUAGUUGGUGUGGUAAGAGCGCACCAAGGCGACGAUCCAUAGCUGGUCUGAGAGGAUGAUCAGCCACACCGGGACUGAGACACGGCCCGGACUCCUACGGGAGGCAGCAGUGGGGAAUAUUGCGCAAUGGGCGAAAGCCUGACGCAGCCAUGCCGCGUGUGUGAAGAAGGCCUCGGUUGU